AAUUUUAAUAUUAUAAGUACCUACUACGUUGUGCUUAACGAAACAUGAUAAUAAUUUAGUUAUACGUAUAUUUUAGUUGAAUUCACACAUUAGCUUUCCGGUCUUAUUGGAUAUGUAUUUUUCCAAUUAUUACUUAUUCGUAAACCUUUCUGUUCGUUGCUCGUCUGUUUAUUUUAUAUUUUAUGUAUCCGAUGUAUGUGUUUAUUUGUAAUAUGGUGUAAAGGAAUUUAUGUAUUAAUAUAUAAUAAUAUGUUAUAUAUUGCUACACGCAGCUGUGUCCUCGUAUAUUCUAUAUAAGAUAAUACCCUGGACUCAAUUCAAACACAUACAAGUAGCAUGGACUCAAUUCAAUAUCACCGUAAUAAAUGGCAGCUGAUUUCAACAUUGGUCACCACUGUAGUAUAAAGACGGCUAUCUAGUUGUUGUAUAUAUCUAUGGAUGUACCUGGACCAGCAAGACUCAGGCCACCAGCUAUUGUACUGCACUAUUACGACGAUAUCAUACUUAAUUCUGUUAUAAUAAACUACAUUUCAAUUACUGUUCUAAAA